rnacentral:rRNA from 1 species
GAUGAACGCUGGCGGCGUGCCUAAUACAUGCAAGUCGAGCGAACAGACGAGGAGCUUGCUCCUCUGACGUUAGCGGCGGACGGGUGAGUAACACGUGGAUAACCUACCUAUAAGACUGGGAUAACUUCGGGAAACCGGAGCUAAUACCGGAUAAUAUAUUGAACCGCAUGGUUCAAUAGUGAAAGACGCUUUUGCUGUCACUUAUAGAUGGAUCCGCGCCGCAUUAGCUAGUUGGUAAGGUAACGGCUUACCAAGGCAACGAUGCGUAGCCGACCUGAGAGGGUGAUCGGCCACACUGGAACGGAGACACGGUCCAGACUCCUACGGGAGGCAGCAGUAGGGAAUCUUCCGCAAUGGGCGAAAGCCUGACGGAGCAACGCCGCGUGAGUGAUGAAGGUCUUCGGAUCGUAAAACUCUGUUAUUAGGGAAGAACAAAUGUGUAAGUAACUAUGCACGUCUUGACGGUACCUAAUCAGAAAGCCACGGCUAACUACGUG